rnacentral:rRNA from 1 species
CGUUCUGUAAGCCUGUGAAGGUGUGCUGUGAGGCAUGCUGGAGGUAUCAGAAGUGCGAAUGCUGACAUAAGUAACGAUAAAGCGGGUGAAAAGCCCGCUCGCCGGAAGACCAAGGGUUCCUGUCCAACGUUAAUCGGGGCAGGGUGAGUCGACCCCUAAGGCGAGGCCGAAAGGCGUAGUCGAUGGGAAACAGGUUAAUAUUCCUGUACUUGGUGUUACUGCGAAGGGGGGACGGAGAAGGCUAUGUUGGCCGGGCGACGGUUGUCCCGGUUUAAGCGUGUAGGCUGGUUUUCCAGGCAAAUCCGGAAAAUCAAGGCUGAGGCGUGAUGACGAGGCACUACGGUGCUGAAGCAACAAAUGCCCUGCUUCCAGGAAAAGCCUCUAAGCAUCAGGUAACAUCAAAUCGUACCCCAAAC